GCUCCAGUGGCCUAGUGGUUAAAACGUCGGCCUCUGAUGCGGGAGGUCGAGGGUUCAAACCCCGGCCGAGUCA